rnacentral:rRNA from 1 species
UGUUUGAUGUUCUAACGUUGGCCCCUGAUCGGGGUUGCGGACAGUGUCUGGUGGGUAGUUUGACUGGGGCGGUCUCCUCCUAAAGAGUAACGGAGGAGCACGAAGGUUGGCUAAUCCUGGUCGGACAUCAGGAGGUUAGUGCAAUGGCAUAAGCCAGCUUGACUGCGAGCGUGACGGCGCGAGCAGGUGCGAAAGCAGGUCAUAGUGAUCCGGUGGUUCUGAAUGGAAGGGCCAUCGCUCAACGGAUAAAAGGUACUCCGGGGAUAACAGGCUGAUACCGCCCAAGAGUUCAUAUCGACGGCGGUGUUUGGCACCUCGAUGUCGGCUCAUCACAUCCUGGGGCUGAAGUAGGUCCCAAGGGUAUGGCUGUUCGCCAUUUAAAGUGGUACGCGAGCUGGGUUUAGAACGUCGUGAGACAGUUCGGUCCCUAUCUGCCGUGGGCGCUGGAGAACUGAGGGGGGCUGCUCCUAGUACGAGAGGACCGGAGUGGACGCAUCACUGGUGUUCGGGUUGUCAUGCCAAUGGCACUGCCCGGUAGCUAAAUGCGGAAGAGAUAAGUGCUGAAAGCAUCUAAGCACGAAACUUGCCCCGAGAUGAGUUCUCCCUGACUCCUUGAGAGUCCUGAAGGAACGUUGAAGACGACGACGUUGAUAGGCCGGGUGUGUAAGCGCAGCGAUGCGUUGAGCUAACCGGUACUAAUGAACCGUGAGGCUUAACCUUACAA